rnacentral:tRNA from 1 species
UGGGGCCAGGUCGAGGAUCCGGGCCCGCUGUUCGGGCCGACGACGGUCCGCUGGUACCCGACCGUGCAGUGGUUCGACGGCGCCGGCUUCGCC